rnacentral:tRNA from 1 species
UGGCUUCGCCCGGGUUUGAGCCGGAGACCUUCUGUGUGUUAGACUGAUGUGAUAACCAACUAAACCACAAAACC